GGUACCAGUUUUUUAGGAAGAACAACAGAUGGAUAUUGUUCUGAUGUCAAUUAUCUGGAACAGUUCUGUGGAACUCAGUUUAGAUUUUGAAGGAAUGCUCUGAGAUUUGACUGUCUUGCAUCUUAAACUCCGCCACAGAAGAGAUUUUUACCAUAAACUUAAAUUUUCAACUUUCUGAGAAGAUUCUCAAAUAUUCUGAUACAGCAUCAGAGGAAAAAAUAAUUGGAACAGUAGCAACACUGAGUAGAAACAAAAUAGCUCAGAACACAGGGGAUAAAAAUGGAUCAUCUGAGAGCACCAG